GACUUGUACAGACACGUCAUUGUCAGAUGAAGUCUACCUCUCCAGAAGUAGAUGUAAUAUGUAUGAUGGGCAUGCUGCCUUGUGUCACGGUACAAUGAUGUAUUCUGCAGCAACAGGCUAGCUGUGGACCUACUUAUGUCAGAUGAAGUCUACCUCUCAAAAAGUAUUGAAGCCUGCCAUCAAGGUUCAAGGAUGUCUUCAUCAACAGGUGUGCCAUCUGCAGAUGAUGUCUACCUGUCAAUUCCUGAGACCUGCAACAGUGCCCACUAAGUGUUAAACAACCGAACAGAGGUAUAUGCAGGUGUUUUACACUAAUAUCAAAAAGUGGUCUGUUUUUGCAGCACUUAUACAAACAGAAUACCUCACAUGCCACAACAUUGAUGGGGAUUUUAUGCGGACACCAGUCUAACCCAUUAUGCGUGGCUGGUCCCUACAGAUUGAUUACAGAUUUUAAAAAAUAGGAAACACGUUUUUGAUUAACAACACCCUUAUAUAAUUUAUUCAGCACUUUCCUUGAAGCUUACAACCUAUGGUGAAUUGUAAAAGUUGGUUGUAUGAUACAGAUUUGGAUGUUUUGUAUAGUUGAAGAUUUAAAUGAAACAGUUUUGUGUGUUACACUAAUUAUAUAGAUUGCAAUAUAUAUUAUUAAAGGCAGUGGACACUAUUGGUAAUUGUCAAAAACUAGCC